rnacentral:rRNA from 1 species
UACAGGGGGUGCAAACGUUGCUCGGAAUCACUGGGCGUAAAGGGUGCGUAGGCGGGUCUUUAAGUCAGGGGUGAAAUCCUGGAGCUCAACUCCAGAACUGCCUUUGAUACUGAGGAUCUUGAGUUCGGGAGAGGUGAGUGGAACUGCGAGUGUAGAGGUGAAAUUCGUAGAUAUUCGCAAGAACACCAGUGGCGAAGGCGGCUCACUGGCCCGAUACUGACGCUGAGGUGCGAAAGCGUGGGGAGCAAACAGG